rnacentral:tRNA from 1 species
GCGAGCAUAGUUUACUAAAAUAUUAAGCCGUGGACUUAAAGACAAGAACUCACACUUCUUUGCGCGCC